AUGUCCAGGGAAGACCGCAAGGUAUCCCAUGCGACCUACACAGACGACGAGGACGACGAGUACGACCACGCCCGAGCACGAGGAUACCCCCCGGAGCGCGAGCGCAAGAUAACGCUGUCAGGGCUGCUCAACUUCAUCGACGGCCUGUGGUCCACAUGCGGCGAGGAGCGCGUCAUCGUCUUCACCACCAACUACAAGGACCGCCUCGACCGGGCGCUGCUACGGCCGGGCCGCAUGGACAUGCACGUCUACAUGGGCCACUGUGGCUGGGAGGCGUUCAGGACGCUGGCCGGGAACUACCACCUGGUCGACGACCACGCGCUGUUCCCGGAGAUUCGGGAACUGCUUUCGGUGGUGGAGGUGACACCGGCGGAGGUGUCCGAGAUGCUGCUGCGGAGUGAGGACGUCGACGUUGCGCUACGGGUGCUUAUCGAAUUCCUCCAACAAAGAAGAUGCAAAACAAAUGAGGUAAAUGAGAAGAAUGGCCGCAUAGCAGGAUAG
rnacentral:rRNA from 1 species